rnacentral:misc_RNA from 1 species
GGAAGUAAAGCCAUAACAAGGUUUCCGUAGGUGAACCUGCGGAAGGAUCAUUAUUGUAUAACCGAGGUGCGAGGGCUGUCGCUGACCCGAAAGGUCGUGCACGCCCGAGUGCCCUCACACACAUCCAUCUCACCCCUAUGUGCACCACCGCGUGGGUCCCCCUUUGGCUUGUUCGGAGGGGGGCUUACGUUUUCACACAAACUUUGUAUGCAGUGUAGAAUGUAUUUUUUGUUUUUGCGAUCACGCAAUCAAUACAACUUUCAACAACGGAUCUCUUGGCUCUC